AUUCCAGCUCCAGUAGCGUAUAUUAAAGUUGUUGCAGUUAAAAAGCUCGUAGUUGGAUUUCUGGCUUUAUAGAACUGACCCGCCACGUUAGUGUGUGAGUGUCGGCUUCUAUAUGCCAUCCUUCCACAGAACGUUUCUACUCUUGAUUGAGCCGGAUUCGCAAUGUGGAACUUUUACUUUGAAAAAAUUAGAGUGUUCAAAGCAGGCUUACGCUAUGAAUACAUUAGCAUGGAAUAAUAAUCUAGGACUUCGGUUCUAUUUUGUUGGUUUCUAGUACUGAAGUAAUGAUUGAUAGGGAUAGUUGGGGUGCCAGUAUUGGCCGGCCAGAGGUGAAAUUCUUGGAUUCGGUCAAGACUAACUUAUGCGAAAGCAUUCACCAAGGAUGUCUUCAUUA
rnacentral:rRNA from 1 species